UUCAAUUGAAGCCUGUAAAUUUUUCACCAAGGUCUAAUGGAAUCCAUGGUUUUCCAAUAAUUCAACUUCCAUUAUUACUAAGUCGACUCAAAUAGAACUAGUAGUUUAAACUUUCAAAAGCAUUCUGAAACAUUGUGGUUUUCAUUUUUUUCAAGUGCAAACAUGUACGGCUAACUUAUCCAGAACCAUUUGUAAAAUGGAAAAACAAGGAAUACGGAAACAUCAAAACAUGGAGUCCAAUUUUCUAUUUACCAUUUUUUAAUGGCUUUUACAAUUUG
rnacentral:misc_RNA from 1 species